rnacentral:rRNA from 1 species
AGCGUGCGCAGGCGGUUUUGUAAGACUGUCGUGAAAUCCCCGGGCUCAACCUGGGAAUGGCGAUGGUGACUGCAAGGCUAGAGUUUGGCAGAGGGGGGUAGAAUUCCACGUGUAGCAGUGAAAUGCGUAGAUAUGUGGAGGAACACCGAUGGCGAAGGCAGCCCCCUGGGUCAAAAACUGACGCUCAUGCACGAAAGCGUGGGGAGCAAACAGGAUUAGAUACCCCUAGU